AUUAGAGUUUGAUCCUGGCUCAGAACGAACGCUGGCGGCAGGCCUAACACAUGCAAGUCGAGCGCCCCGCAAGGGGAGCGGCGGACGGGUGAGUAACACGUGGGAACGUACCCUUUGCUACGGAAUAGUCUCGGGAAACUGGGGGUAAUACCGUAUGUGCCCUUCGGGGGAAAGAUUUAUCGGCAAAGGAUCGGCCCGCGUUGGAUUAGGUAGUUGGUGGGGUAAUGGCCUACCAAGCCGACGAUCCAUAGCUGGUUUGAGAGGAUGAUCAGCCACACUGGGACUGAGACACGGCCCAGACUCCUACGGGAGGCAGCAGUGGGGAAUCUUAGACAAUGGGCGCAAGCCUGAUCUAGCCAUGCCGCGUGAGCGAUGAAGGCCUUAGGGUUGUAAAGCUCUUUCAGUGGGGAAGAUAAUGACUGUACCCACAGAAGAAGCCCCGGCUAACUCCGUGCCAGCAGCCGCGGUAAUAAU
rnacentral:rRNA from 1 species